rnacentral:lncRNA from 1 species
GUUUGUUUGAGAGACUGAUGGAAGAUAUUGAGAUAAGUUUUAACUACACUUUUUUUCUAAACAAGGAAAGGGUCUAGCACUGUGAUUUCUGCUUGUUGUGGGGUCCUAUCAUUUAUGGAACUUUCUUAUAUCUUUUAUAUUUUUUUUGAGACAGAAUCUCGCUUUGUUGCCCAGGCUGGAGUGCAGUGGCAUGAUCUCGGGUCACUGCAACCUCCGCCUCCCGGGUUCAAGCGAUUUCCAGAUAUUUUUUGUAUUUUUAGUAGAGACGGGGUUUCACUAUGUUAGUCAGGCUGGUCUCUAACUCCUGACCUCAAGUGAUCCACCCGCGUCUGCCUCCCGAAGUGCUGGGAUUACAGUCAUGAGCCACCGCACCCAGCCCCUUUCCUAUAUCUUUUAACCCAACAUCCACUAGCUAUGACCUUCUACUCACUCCAUUCUCCCUGUAUUCACCCCUCCCCAGACAAACCCCACCUCCUUUCACUGUUCCAAUCUGCUUCUCUCACAGCUCUCUGUCCAUUUCUGUGACUGGCUGCUGGAUUUGAUCCAGCAGCACAGAAACCAGCAACCCAGUGAAGGGCAAACACAUGGAAAAAUGCUUAAGAUAUAAUGUUAAGCCAAAAAAAAAAAAAAGGGAAACAAAAGUACGUGUACAUGGAACUUACAACCAAGGCUGGGCCUCUGUCUUCCUCUUUGCUGUAUCUCCAGUCCUUAGAACAAUGAUUGUUGCCUGCUUUGGAAGACAGGCAGCAUACGCCCUCCCAUCAUUUUACCUGUGAGCAUAUGAAAGACAGAGGGGUUAAGUGGCUCAUCUAGCUUGGCUGGCAAGAUAAACUACCUACUCCAAUAAAGAAGAGGUUAUUGAGUGGGUGCUGGUUACAGAUGCUGCUUCAUAUACCUUGGAAACAGGGAGGAACCUUCAGUCCUAGAUGUUCCACCCUGAUUUCUGAUCCUCAAUCUACUUUGCUUUCUGUACCUAUGAACUUCAAGACCUAUGAGUUAGUCCUAUGUACUUUUUGAUGGUGGGGGACAUGUCUCAUUCACUGUCGUAUCUCCAGAAUCUAGAAUAGUAUCUGCCACAGAGUAGGUGCUCGUGAAGUUUUCAUGAUUCAAUGAAGGGGACCAAAUUAUGGAGGGCCUUGGUGCCAAAUUAUUUUAUCCUGAAGAAAAUGAGGAGUUACUGAAGAUUUUUUGAGCAAGGGGAAGUCAUGAUUGGAUCUGCAGUUUUGAAAGAUCAUUUUGACUGCAGAAUGGGCAGUUAGAGGAAGUCUAGAGACCUGUUAGAAGACUGUUCCAAUUAUCCAAACCAGAGAUGAUGAUCAGUGCUUAAACUAAAUUUGUGGCAAUGGGGAUAAAGAGAUGGGAAUUGAUUCAAAUGUAAACCAAAAAUAAAAUUCUAACCCCCCCCCCCCCCACCGCCCCCAAUCAUCUGAAUGGACUUCUUCCUCGGCCAGGGCACUCUCAAAAUAUAACCUGAGAGACUGGCUCAGGCCUUGACGGGAAGUGGGGGCCAGACAUGCCUUCUUAUACUUCUCUGGUAUUAACAUCAAUGCAGUCUGGUAAGAAGCAUUUAUGGCCAGGCACGGUGGCUCAUGCCUGUAAUCCCAGCACUUUGGGAGGCUGAGGUGGGCGGAUCACCUGAUGUCAGUGUUAGGUCUCUGAGCCCAAGCUAAGCCAUCAUAUCCCCAGUGACCUGCACGUAUACAUCCAGAUGGCCUGAAUCAACUGAAGAUCCACAAAAAAAGUGAAAAUAGCCUUAACUGAUGACAUUCCACCAUUGUGAUUUAUUUCUGCCCCAGCCUAACUGAUCAAAGUACUUUGUAAUCUCCCCCACCCUUAGGAAGGUUCUUUAUAAUCUCCCCCACCCUUGAGAAUGUACUUUGUGAGAUCCGCCCCGUGCCCCCAAAACAUUGCUCUUAACUCCACCGCCUAUCCCAACACCUAUAAGAACCAAUGAUAAUCCCACCACACUUUGCUGACUCUCUUUUCGGACUCAGCCCGCCUGCACCCAGGUGAAAUAAACAGCCAUGUUGCUCAAACAAAGCCUGUUUGGUUGUCUGUUCACACGGAUGCGU